CUUCUCCAAGGAGGGUCCUUGCCCAGUGCCCUGGGCAGGGCUCGCACUGAGGUCUGGAGGCCACAGCCCCGCGGGCAGGUGGCAGGGUAGCAGCAUCCCUGGAUCUGUCCAGUCUCAGGUCACAGAGCUGGGUGGAAAGCCCGUGACUGUCCCCUGAGCCGGCCUUCUUUUACAGAGGAAGAAACGGGCUGAGAGCCCAGACGCAGCCCGGCCACCAGCUGUCACAGGCGGUACUCGUUUGCACUUCCAUUUCCCAUCUAAAACAGAGCGACUCGGUCCUUCUCCAGCCCCUGGUGUGGGAUCUUCUGUGGCCUAGAUGUGCCUCAACAGCUGCGGGCGAUCACAGGCGGGCAAUCACAGGCAGGCCCUUCAGAGAUGACUGGAUUAUGGGGUCCUGAGAGCUGACUUCCUGUAGGAGGUGGGGCCUGGUGGGAAGAGGCGGGUGCUGUGGGUGUGACCCGGAAGGCUCCUCCACGGACUGUGUCAGCCUUCCUGUGAGCAGCUCUCCUCCACUCUGCCUCUCUGCCAUGCCAGCCUGCCUUGGAGUCAGCUGACUCUGGACUCACAUGUGAGCCAAAAUAAACUUUGCCUUCCUUAAAUUGUAGAUGUUGACUAUUUUGUCCCACCAAGGAGAAAAAUGACAGAUAGGGUCUGUUCGGGGUGGGAGGGACUCCAGCAGCUCAGGAGAUGGCCUGGCUUAGUCCAUACAGAAACAAGCGAACACACAAGGGCCGAG
rnacentral:lncRNA from 1 species